GGUUUGAUUCAUUUUUUUAAAUUAUUUUGUACCAAACCAUUUCUUAAACCGAGCUACAUAUAUACAUGUGUAUAUAUCUUCUUCCAAACCUAGCAUCGUGUACCGUCAAAGGAGACGCAGCCUUUAAUCACCAUCGUCUUCUUCCUCUCCACCAUGUCUCCAAGUCCACACUCAUGCUCUUCUCUCCUCUGUUAUUUUCUCUUACCAUCCAAUCACGUUCAUCCUGGCCUCGAUCCGCAGUGCUUCAUCACAAAUCAACAUCAAUGAUGCCCGAGCACUCAUAUGCAUUAGAGAAGAAGCCUUGCGACCAUAGCUGCGACCAUAGCUACCAUGGUGGGCCUUGUUUCUGUGUUACGCCAGAUCCGAGAGAUGAAGAAUAAUCACCAGACCCAUUGCCAUUCCAUCUCACACGUUGUGGACGUGAGCAAAGACGAGAGAGAGUGAGGACGUACAAACAGAGCAGUUGAAGAUCUUCACUAUGUUUACUUGCAUCAUUGGAUCCAUGGCUGAGGUGUAGUUUUGUGAGAGGCUUCUAGUACGAUUCAGAAGACUAUAGACUGCGAGUCAUGGCUCUUUGGAUAGAUCUCGUUUCAACGAAUCUGUAGCAGCAAACGGAAUCGAGAUCGGAGUUGUACAGCAAAGGUUAUGGACAUUCCUUCUUGGCCAAGAAUAAACUUAAGCUGUUGCGAUGCAGAGACAGUUCCGACCAGUCUCAGCAUAAAGGCGAAACGGUCGACCUAAACGAAAGCUUUCAAUCUGGAAAUUUGUCAUCUUCGUUUGCGAUCAGCCUGGAGGUGAAGCUAAUUUGGUUAACCAGAUGGUGUCCGAUCGGAGUAAACUCGGUGUCUGUGGAUAGAGGACAUUUAGGACUACAUUUUGACCGGACGGAUUAAAAAGUUAAGGGUCAGUUAUUGAGAUAUCUAUCUAUUUUUCUUAGGGUUGAGUUCUGCCAGAAUCAUCAUAUUCAUUUAUUUUCAGAGAGUUCCGGAGUUGCUGUUUUAGAACCAUCAAGGACAUUUGAUGUUUUCUCAGUUUUCUUCAGAAUUGUGGCAAAGGUGAGACAGACGAGUAUAUGAUAUUUGGACGGAUUGGUGCUACUGGACUUUUUAUUCGGAUUUUUAUUUGGGUUUUGAAUGAGUGGAUUUGUGUAUAUGGGCUAUUGUGUUAUGAUUUAUUGUUGCUGGCCCAUUUUCUCGAGAUAGGAGGUGACGGGUGUCACAAUUUGGUAUC